CUUUCACUCUCUCUCUGUCCUUGCCUCCUCUUGUGCUGUCUUCCAUCAUAGGACACGGGCAGGUGUGUUAGGUGUGCAUCCCCAGAGGCUAGGUCUUGUGAGCUAUGAACAAGUAGGGGACCGAAAUGAUGCAGGGCAGUGGGCGCUAGAGUGAAGCGGUGACUGUGGGUGUUGACUGAGUCUCUGCUCUAGUGGGGCUGAUGUGGGAGGCAGGGAUGAGGGCAAGAUUUCACGCACCAAUUGAAUUUUUUGUAGUGAGGGCUCUUGGUUGGCUUAUUUGCUGCACUUGUAGAGGAAUUAUCCAGGAGCAGCAGCCGGAGGGGAAAUUGGCAGAUGUGGGCCUGAGGAGCCUGGACAUUCUUCUAAGGAGACAUAAACAGUCCUCAGCUUUCUGCCUCGUGCAUAACUGGCUGUGGGUUUGGUGUGUCUGACCAGAGUCAUCUGUGCAGAGUGACUAUUUCAGGUGUCGUCGCAAGGGGUGCUUUCUACUUGUAGUCAUAAAGGCGUGAUGGGAGGAGGGUUCAGGGCAGAGCCCCACCACGUGGGAGAGGCAAAAAGAAGCGGCUCCCCAACAUUGCCAAUUGAGAUGGUGACUGACUUGUUUUUCCGCUGGAUUUAGUACCAAGGGAAAAGAAGUGACAAGUCAGAGUCUGCUGCCCUCAUGCGAUGGAAAGCAAGCGAGAGUGAUGGGACUGCGAGAAUUAUUGAUGCCUUGAAAAAGCCGUCCAACGGGGAAUGGAACAGUCAUCACUGUCAAUGAGAUAAGUGUCUGUUUUGGUGAUUGCUCUGCUCACAGCCCACCUUGCUCCUGAAAGGGAUGCCCCGUUUGCUGAGGCUGUUUGUAAGAAAAGGUUCCUGACUAGCUGUGGUUUUGAGAGAGAGAAGAUCCCCAUUUUUAGGGGCUGCUCAGUUUUCUGGCCAGGAGCAGUGUGUCCUACGCAGCAGAAGGUUGCAUCUAGGAGAAUGAGUCCAGGUGAUGAAUUGCUUGCCUUUCUCUCGUGUUUCUCUCUCUCUUCUCUAGUGUGUUGGCCAACACUCUUUCUCAAUCUGUCCUUGCCUUUCCUUGUGCUGUCUCCCUUCUUAGGAUAUCGGCAGGCGAGCUAGAUGUGCACCCCCACAGGUUGUGUCUUGGGAGCCAUAAAGAAGUAGGAGGGGACAAAAAUCAUGCAGGGCAGUCGGUGCGAGAGUGGAGCGGUGACUGUUGGUGUUGUGGGGCUAAGACCGAUUGAAAGCGACGCAGGGAAGAGGGCCUUAAUUGGGCUCUAUGUAGUGCAGGAGUUCUCAAACUGGGGUUUAGGUCCCGUCAGGGGGCUGCAAGGUUGUUAUUUGGGGGGUUGUGAAAUGUCAUCCUCCAUCCUAAACAUCACUUUGCUUCCAGCAUUUAUAAUGGUGUUGAAUAUACAAAAAGUGUUUUUAAUUUAUAAGGGAAGGGUCACACUCAGAAGCUUUCUAUGUAAAAGGGAUCAUCAGUACAAAAGGUUGAGAACCACUGGUGUAGUGAUAGUUCUUGCUUGCCUUUAUUAGUUUGCAGAGGAAUUGUCCAGGAGUCUCAGCUGGAGAAGAAGCUGGCAGAAGUGGACCUGAACUGCUUGGACAUCCUUCUAAGGAGACAUGAACAGUCCUCAGCUUUCUGCAUUCUGGAUAACUGGCUAUGAGUAAGAAUUUGCAGAGGAAUCGUCCAGGAGCCCCAGCCGGAUGAGAAUGUCAGAAGUGGACCUGAGCAGCCUGGACAUCCUUCUAAGGAAACAAGAAUAGUCCUCAGGUUUCUGCAUAACUGGCUUACCAAGCAAAAAGAAGUCACAUGUCAAAGUCUACUGCCCUUAUGUGACGAGUGAUGAGACUGCGAGCGUUGUUGGUGUCAGGCAGGAGCCGUCCAUCUGGGAGCAGAACAGCUGCUACUAUCACUGAGAUAAGUAUCUGUUUUGCUGAGGGUUCUGCUCACGGCCCACCUGGCUACAGGUAGAGACACCCCGUUAGGUGGGGCUGGGUUUGUAAGAAAAGGUUCCUGACUAGCUGUGGUUUUGAGGGAGACACGGUCCCCAUUUUCAGGGGCUGAUGAUUUCUCUGGCCAGGAUCGGUGUGUCCUCGGCAGGAGAAGGUUAGAUCCAGGAGGAUGACUCCAGGUGACAAGUUGCUUGCCUUCCUCCCGUGUUUCUCAUUUUCUCGCUCUCUGUCUCUCUAGUGUGUUGGCCAACGCUCUCUCUUAAUCUGUCCUUUCCUUUCCUUGUGCCAUUUCCCUUCUUAGGACACAGGCAGGCCUGCGAGGUGUGCAUCUCCACAGGUUAGGUCUUGAAAGCCCUGGAGUAGUAGGAGGGGACGAAAACCAUGCGGGGUAGUGGGUGCGAGAGUGCAGCAGUGACUGUCAGUGUUGAAUCGGUCUCUGUUCAAGUGGGGCUGAUGUAGAUGGGGUGGAAGAGGGAGGCAGGAUUGAGGGCAACGUUUCAAGUACCAUUAGAGCUGUGUGUAGAGAUGGCGCAUGCUUGGCUUUUGCAGCUGCACUUCCAGAGGAAUUGUCCAGGAGCUCGAGCCGGAGGAGAAACUGGUAGAGGUGGAUCUGAGCAGCUUGGACAUCGUUCUAACCAGACAGGAACAGUCCUCAGCUUUCUGCCUUCUGAACAACUGGCUGUGAGUAAGAGGUCAGUGCUUUCAAUUCCUUAUCUGUACUCGCUGUAGUUUACUUCACAGGCCUUGUGCUUCCUCGCUGGGUACAGGACACUGUGGUAUUAAGGCUGGGGAAGGGACAAGAGUCUCCUGAGCAAAGUGACUGUUUUGGGUGCAGUUACAAUGGAUCCCUUCUAGUUGCAGAUGUAAAGUAGUAAUAGGAGAUGGUUUGAUGGCGGAGCCGUGGGAUAUGUGAGAUGAAGAGACUACAUGACAUUGCAGAUGGAAAUGCUAAUUUGUUUGUUUUUCUCUCCUCUGCUGGGUUUAGUACCAAGGAAAAAUAAGUCACAUGUCAGAGUCUACUGCCCUCAUGCAAUGGAAAGUGAGUGAGAGCAGCGAGCCUGUGAGCAUUGUUCAUGCCAGGCAAGAGCCGUUCAUUUGGGAGCCAAGCAGAUGCCACUGUCAGUGAGAUAAGUGUCUGUUUUGCUGAGGGUUCUGUUAACAGCCCAUCUGACUCCAGCAGUGUGUCCUCCGCAGGAGAAGGUUGGAUCCAGGAGGAUGACUCCAGAUGUUUGGAGAGGAAUCGUCCAGGAGCCCUCGCCGGAGGAGAAUAUGCAGAAGUGGA